rnacentral:rRNA from 1 species
AGCUCCAAUAGCGUAUAUUUAAGUUGUUGCAGUUAAAAAGCUCGUAGUUGGAUUUCGGUUAAGAGCGACCGGUCCGCCGUUUGGUGUGCACUGGUUGGUUUUAACUUCCUGUAGAGGACGUGCUCUGGGCUUAACGGUCUGGACUCGGAGUCUACGUGGUUACUUUGAAAAAAUUAGAGUGUUCAAAGCGGGCUUACGCUUGAAUAUUUCAGCAUGGAAUAACACUAUAGGACUCCUGUCCUAUUUCGUUGGUCUCGGGACGGGAGUAAUGAUUAAGAGGAACAGUUGGGGGCAUUCGUAUUUCAUUGUCAGAGGUGAAAUUCUUGGAUUUAUGAAAGACGAACUUCUGCGAAAGCAUUUGCCAAGGAUGUUUUCAUU